UCGCGGCGAACAGCUCAGUAACACGUGGCCAAGCUACCCUGCAGAGGGGGACAGCGUCGGGAAACUGACGGGAAUCCCCCAUACCGGUCUCACGCUGGAAUGCCGAGACCGACAAACGCUCCGGCGCUGCAGGAUGCGGCUGCGGCCGAUUAGGUAGUCGGUGGGGUAACGGCCCACCGAGCCGAUAAUUGGUACGGGGUGUGAGAGCACGAGCCCGGAGACGGAAUCUGAGACAAGAUUCCGGGCCCUACGGGGCGCAGCAGGCGCGAAACCUUUACACUGCACGAACGUGCGAUAAGGGGACUCCGAGUGCGAGGGCAUACAGUCCUCGCUAUUGUGUACCGUAGGGUGGUACACGACCAAGAGCUGGGCAAGACCGGUGCCAGCCGCCGCGGUAAUACCGGCAGCUCGAGUGAUGGCCGAUUUUAUUGGGC
rnacentral:rRNA from 1 species